AGACUCCUACGGGAGGCAGCAGUGGGGAAUAUUGCACAAUGGCGAANCUGAUGCAGCCAUGCCGCGUGUGUGAAGAAGGCCUUCGGGUGUUAAAGCACUUUCAGUCGUGAGGAAGGUAGUGUAGUUAAUAGCUGCAUUAUUUGACGUUAGCGACAGAAGAAGCACCGGCUAACUCCGUGCCAGCAGCCGCGGUAAUACGGAGGGUGCGAGCGUUAAUCGGAAUUACUGGGCGUAAAGCGCAUGCAGGUGGUUUGUUAAGUCAGAUGUGAAAGCCCGGGGCUCAACCUCGGAAUUGCAUUUGAAACUGGCAGACUAGAGUACUGUAGAGGGGGUAGAAUUUCAGGUGUAGCGGUGAAAUGCGUAGAGAUCUGAAGGAAUACCGGUGGCGAAGGCGGCCCCCUGGACAGAUACUGACACUCAGAUGCGAAAGCGUGGGGAGCAAACAGGAUUAGAUACCCUGGUAG
rnacentral:rRNA from 1 species